AAUCACAGUCUGUCUGGAGCAGAGAGAAUGCUACUGUGGUGUUGUCACUUUCUUCAAUCAAUCACGUAUCUCAACUUUGAUUCAUAUAUGCUGAGUUUCCUCUGAUAUGCUGAAUUUUGUCCAAAAGAAAUCUGGAGCUGCCUUUUCUGAUAUGAACAGAUGUUUCAGCAGAAUGUAGGAAAGGGUAAGAUCUUUCUAUUAAAGUGUUCAGAAUGUAACUUGUGACCAAGAUGGAGUAACAAGGACAGG
rnacentral:lncRNA from 1 species